rnacentral:rRNA from 1 species
UACGGGGGGAGCAAGCGUUGUUCGGAUUUACUGGGCGUAAAGGGCGCGUAGGCGGCCACUGCAAGUCAGUUGUGAAAUCUCCGGGCUUAACUCGGAAAGGUCAACUGAUACUGCAGGGCUAGAGUGCAGAAGGGGCAACUGGAAUUCUCGGUGUAGCGGUGAAAUGCGUAGAUAUCGAGAGGAACACCUGCGGCGAAGGCGGGUUGCUGGGCUGACACUGACGCUGAGGAGCGAAAGCGUGGGGAGCGAACAGG